CGAAAGAGAACCGUAACACAGGUGCUGCAUGGCUGUCGUCAGCUCGUGUCGUGAGAUGUUGGGUUAAGUCCCGCAACGAGCGCAACCCUUGUCAUUAGUUGCUACGAAAGGGCACUCUAAUGAGACUGCCGGUGACAAACCGGAGGAAGGUGGGGAUGACGUCAAGUCCUCAUGGCCCUUAUAGGUGGGGCUACACACGUCAUACAAUGGCUGGUACAGAGGGUUGCCAACCCGCGAGGGGGAGCUAAUCCCAUAAAACCAGUCGUAGUCCGGAUCGCAGUCUGCAACUCGACUGCGUGAAGUCGGAAUCGCUAGUAAUCGCGGAUCAGAAUGUCGCGGUGAAUACGUUCCCGGGUCUUGUACACACCGCCCGUCACA
rnacentral:rRNA from 1 species